AAAAUCUAUUCAUUUAUUUAUGUAUAUAAAUAAAAAUUUUUAUGGUUUAGAAAAUUUAUUUUAAAUUUAUUUUACAUAUAAAUUUUAGUGUUAAUUAUUCAUUAUUUAAAUAAUAUAAAUUAAUUGGUAGUAAUUAAUAUUAUAAAUUUAAGAAAUUAAGAUUUAGUAAUAUUAAAAUUAAUAACAAAUUUUGUGCCAGCAGUUGCGGUUAUACAAAAGUUAAAUUAAAUUUUAUUAGUGAUUAAUAAAUAAUUUUUUUUUAUAAAUAAAAUUUUAAAUUAUUGAGUGAAAUUUUAAUUUAAUUAAAAUUUAUUUUUUAAUUAUGAUUUAGUAAAUUUUUUAAAAAACUAGGAUUAGAUACCCUAUUAUUAAAAUUUUAAAUUAAAGAUACUAAAAUAGUAAAUAAUAAUUUAUUAAAACUUAAAUAAUUUGGCGGUAUUUUAGUUUAUUUAGAGGAACCUGUUUAAUAAUUGAUAAUCCACGAAUAAAUUUACUUAUUUUAUUAUUUUGUAUAUCGUUGUUAUAAAAAUAUUUUUAAAUAAUAAUAAUAUUUUAGUUUUUAAAAUUGAAUGUAAAUCAGAUCAAGAUGCAGAUUAUAAUUAAGAAUAUAAUGGGUUACAAUAAAAUUAUUUAAAUGAAUAUUAAUUUAUAAUAAUUAAUUGAAAGUGGAUUUAAAUGUAAUUUUGUUUAGUUAAAUAAAAUGAUUUUUUAUUAAAAUAUGUACAUAUUGCCCGUCGCUUUCAUAGAUAAGUUGGAAUAAGUCGUAACAAAGUAGAGGUACUGGAAAGUGUUUCUAGAAAGAU
rnacentral:ncRNA from 1 species